rnacentral:rRNA from 1 species
CCCGAUGAACCUGAAUAUCCGUUAUGGAAAAUUCAUCAUUAAUAUUAUUAUAUAUAAAAAUAUAAUAAAAAUAGUGUGCAAUUUUUCCAUAUAAGGACAUUGUAAUUUGUUAAUGUGUUAAAUAUUUAUCAAAAAAUUUAAAACAUAAGUUUAUUCAAAUUAGUUAUUUUCGAAUUUCUAACAUAGAAUAAAUGUAUUAAAUUCGAUAAAUCAUUGACAGAUUUUAUUAUAUAUAAUGCUUAAAUUCUUUUUGAAUUUUAUAAUUAUUUUUAUUAAUUAAUAAUAAUUAUAUGCAUUUAUAUGAUUAACAAUGCGAUAGAUUCAGGAUACCUUCGGGACCCGUCUUGAAACACGGACCAAGGAGUCUAACAUAUGUGCAAGUCAUUGGGUAUUUUUAAUAAAACCCAAUGGCAUAAUUAACUUAACUGUUAUUUAAUGGGAUUAGUUUGUAUAUUAUUAUGAUAUAUAAAUUCAAUCCCGGGGCGUUCUAUAUAGUUAUGCAUAAUAAUAUUUAUAUUAUUUAUGCCUCUAACUAGAGCGUACCUUGAGCAUAUAUGCUGUGACCC